rnacentral:rRNA from 1 species
UAGGGAAUCUUCCGCAAUGGGCGAAAGCCUGACGGAGCAACGCCGCGUGAGUGAUGAAGGUCUUCGGAUCGUAAAACUCUGUUAUUAGGGAAGAACAUAUGUGUAAGUAACUGUGCACAUCUUGACGGUACCUAAUCAGAAAGCCACGGCUAACUACGUGCCAGCAGCCGCGGUAAUACGUAGGUGGCAAGCGUUAUCCGGAAUUAUUGGGCGUAAAGCGCGCGUAGGCGGUUUUUUAAGUCUGAUGUGAAAGCCCACGGCUCAACCGUGGAGGGUCAUUGGAAACUGGAAAACUUGAGUGCAGAAGAGGAAAGUGGAAUUCCAUGUGUAGCGGUGAAAUGCGUAGAUAUAUGGAGGAACACCGGUGGCGAAAGCGGCUCUCUGGCUUGUAACUGACGCUGAGGCUCGAAAGCGUGGGGAGCAAACAGGAUUAGAUACCCUGGUAGUCCACGCCGUAAACGAUGAGUGCUAGGUGUUAGACCCUUUCCGGGGUUUAGUGUCGCAGCUAACGCAUUAAGCACUCCGCCUGGGGAGUACGACCGCAAGGUUG